CAAUUUGCAGAAAUUAUCUUUAUUAGAAAAAUGAUUUUUUCAUAUAUUUACAAUUUUUACAUCAUGUUAUACUUGGCACGUGUGUUUUCCCCAAAUAUAUACAUUUCGGUACGCACAGACAUUCGAGUCCCCCAUUCCCUUAAUGUUUUUCUACAUAUUUAACAAAAAAAUGAACACAAUACAAUUUGUAAGACAACCAUAAUAAUUAUAUAUUUCUCUAUCAUAAAAAGUUUGAAGCAAACAUUUGUUUUAGAUAUGUUUCAAAAUAUUUAUACAGUAUUAGCACUCAGUCAUGCACUGGGUCAGGGUGAACUGCUGUGAGGUGGUAUAUGCGUACCACGGGGAGAAGAGCAUGAACAUCCCAGCUCCUUCAAGCUGCAAUGUGUGCUAUUGGGUAGAUCCCACUGCCACCAGGAUUCCAGAGGCAGGGACAGAGGGGUGCAGGGGUAGCUGGGUGUAUGUGUAUCUAUAACACGGCAGUUGACACCGUGUGUGUACAGAAACAUGUGUAUUGAAAUUCAUUUCAGUUUGCUAACCCUACCUAAUAAACCAGGCAGUAAUUGGGAUGUCAAAACUAGCUUGUAAUUAUUCUCUUGUUCCCUAAACACUUCCUUUUGAAGAAUCCAUUAGACUAUGAAUCUUAUCUUAAAGUAUUUUAUGCUUGAUUCCAUUUCACCAGUGUUCUUUUGUUCCUAUUCUAACAACCCAAUUUAUUUCCCCAGGUGUUAAGAGGUCUUCAAACCUCUGCUGUUCUUUGCUAGCAAUUGGGAAUUUAGGACUUACCUUUUGGUUUGAAAUAUUAUACUCUUGACUGUCACAGUAAAUUGCACAAGUAAAUAACAGAAGUUUGGCUUUUUAAUUUACUGUGCAUGGAAUCAAAUGGUUCCAAGAUUUGUGGCAAGAUGUUAUUUAGGGAAUGCAAAUUUCUUCUACUGCAACAUAUAGCAGUGCUCUGGUAAGCAGGUCAGAUUAGUACACCUGGACAUUUUUCUCCCAUCAGAACAAGAAUACUUUUCCAACUGUACUAACAACUGAGUUUCUUUCUGACCAAAAUCCUAAGUUAAUAUUGUGAAUUCUUAGUUUCUCAAGAUACAAAUGAAACUAAACUGGUCUUAGGAUGGUGACUGAAGAUCCAGUACUGAUUUCCAGUUACAUCUUGGUUUUGAGAGUCAACUGCAAAUAAUGUCUAGUCAAACUCAAAAUAGCAAUGUAUUACUUGAAACUGUUAAUAAAUGGUUGUAGAAUCUGGGUCACAAUGAUGUAUUUUUGUCUUGCCCAUCAUUCUCCCCAAAAGCUUUAUACAUAUACAUAUAUAUAAAGCUUAUAUAUAGCUUGUAUGUAUACAUGUAUGUAUACAAAGACUCAUCAGGACAACACAUUAAAUUUACAUUAUUCAAGUAAACAGGUUAAAAUGUUUUUAAAAGUGUAAUUUGAGAUUUUAAAAUACUUCUGGUGGAGUUUUUUUAGCAGCACAGAAAUAUCAGUGAUUUCAUCUAAGCCAGCAAAAAUAGUUACACAGGAUGAAAGGAAGCAUGAAAUGCCCUUCAGGAUUAGUGUAAAUCUGAAUCCAGUGAAUUAAAACUAACAUUAUUUACUCACAGGUGAAGUGCUUCUGAGAGAACCUGAAAUGGAUAGAUGUAAAUUUUGCAUAAAAAUAGCAUACUUUGUUAAGAAUCAGGUAGGAGUUUACCUAACACAUUGAUGAAUUCUGUUUGUACCUUCUGGUUUCAACAGGGAAGACACAAGAUAUACUGUGCAUGUGCAUGUGGGUGUGAGGUGUGAAGACAGAGAGAUCAAGCUGUUCUUCACCAGUGCAAAAUGGACGUUCUGAAAUGAGUAAGACUAUUUCAAAUCAUGAUACCUGAUAUCAAGUAUAACCUGAAAACAGUUCUUAUUAAAAAUGUCACUCGUUUCCAUCCCAGCUGCACAUAAUUUUACAUGAUGCACCUUCCAUACCUUUGCAACAUUAGGUGUGGUUUGGGGGUUUUUAAUUCUGAGCGUGAACUGCGCUAAGGAUCUGCUCUCCCAUCACUCCCUCACACAUCCCUGUUUAAGUCAAACGGUGUUUUGUCUUAAUUUGGAAUCCAGACCUAGGCCAGGUAAAAAUGAACUAACCAAAACUUAUCUUCUUGCCGAUGAAGGACUUGAUUCCAAGUUCUUCUCCAAGACAUAUUUGUAAUGAACCACAGACAAAAUCUGACCCUACACAAUUUUCAGUUUCUCAGUUAAGGUGGAAAAAUUGAUAACUAUCCAACUCUCCCUUUGAAAAAAAACAAACAAAACCAACCAACAAACAAAACCCAAAUGAUUCCAAGGUAUUUUUCUGUCAUACUUUUUGGUUAAAGCUUUGUAACUUUAGAAAAGAAGCUGAAUACCACAAUCAUCUCUUCGGCAAAAUCUCUACAUCACCAGUAACAGAAAGCUCAAAAGCCUGUGCAUUGAGAAAAGUGAUUCUGACAAACAUCACAGCUAAAUACUGCCUCUGGGUGCAAAACCAGCUUGGGAAACAGCCCAGUCUGCAUGGGCAGGCACUGGUGCACACAUCAGCUGAUCUUCCCUGGGAAUUUGAGGGGUUUAGGUAUCCUUCCUCAGCUACCUCAUAUAACAUGUUUAAUGACCAGAUGAGGAUCGUGUAAGCUGACAAAGAAUGUUAGUCAGUCACCAGGCCAAUAGACCCUCUCUGGACAUGAAUUUUCAGAAGACUGCAAGAAAACAUCCUUUUCCUAUGUCUUUGUUAUUUAUAGUGAGUGCCAUUUCCAGCUCUUUCAGACAGUAACUCUCCUCUGCCGUGUGUUUACGUGUCUUAGCACAAUUCAGUCCUGAUCCCAGCAUGUCCUUCAGCCUCUUCUGUACUAGGUAUCAAACCCUACAAUAAAUGCUGCUAGAGGACUUGGGAUGUAGGAGGUUUGUAAAAGAGAGAAGAGAAUCCCUUAAAAUAAAGCCCUGCUGAAAUGUGUCCCACAGCUUUGGGAGAUGAUUCACACAUGACUAGGUUGGAAAGUGUAUGCACGCACACGUGUGUAUACUGUAUAUAUAUUUAAGUUAGCAAGUUUAUUAAUAAACAGCUUCUUAUGAUAUUUGGUAAUUAAAAUAUCGGGCUUGUAUCAUUCAAAAUAGUGCAACCUACAUAGCAAUGUACAGGAGAAUUACACACAUUAUUCCCAUUACCGUUAAUAUGCUUGUGCAUAUCAAGAUGACAGGAUACCCUUUUCCAUAGGAGUAAUCUUUUGCAUAUUUAAUUGUAUUCUUUGGCCCAUUUUCCUGUGAAACCUCGUAUGAAAACAUAAAGACUUUGGCUUUAAAAAAAAAACCUAAAAAGCCAACUCCUGUUUUUUUCAGUGACUUUUAGAAACUUCAGUAGAGCUCAAAUUGCUUUAGUUAUAAAUUAUUUCCUUCAGAAACCACACACCCCGCAGCCUGUCACAGACCACCC
rnacentral:lncRNA from 1 species